rnacentral:rRNA from 1 species
AUUGAACGCUGGCGGCAUGCCUUACACAUGCAAGUCGAACGGUAACGGGCCUUCGGGUGCCGACGAGUGGCGAACGGGUGAGUAAUGUAUCGGAACGUACCUUUCAGUGGGGGAUAACGUAGCGAAAGUUACGCUAAUACCGCAUAUUCUGUGCGCAGGAAAGCAGGGGAUCGCAAGACCUUGCGCUGAUUGAGCGGCCGAUAUCAGAUUAGCUAGUUGGUGAGGUAAAGGCUCACCAAGGCGACGAUCUGUAGCGGGUCUGAGAGGAUGAUCCGCCACACUGGGACUGAGACACGGUCCAGACUCCUACGGGAGGCAGCAGUGGGGAAUUUUGGACAAUGGGGGCAACCCUGAUCCAGCCAUGCCGCGUGAGUGAAGAAGGCCUGGUUGUAAGACUCUUCGGUCCGGAGAAAUCGUAUCAGCUAAUACCU